AGGAAUAUUGGACAAUGGGCGCAAGCCUGAUCCAGCCAUGCCGCGUGCAGGAAGAAGCAUCUAUGGUGUGUAAACUGCUUUUGUACGGGAAGAAACACUCCUACGUGUAGGAGCUUGACGGUACCGUAAGAAUAAGGAUCGGCUAACUCCGUGCCAGCAGCCGCGGUAAUACGGAGGAUCCAAGCGUUAUCCGGAAUCAUUGGGUUUAAAGGGUCCGUAGGCGGUUUAAUAAGUCAGUGGUGAAAUCUGGUCGCUCAACGAUCAAACGGCCAUUGAUACUGUUAGACUUGAAUUACUAGGAAGUAACUAGAAUAUGUAGUGUAGCGGUGAAAUGCUUAGAUAUUACAUGGAAUACCAAUUGCGAAGGCAGGUUACUACUAGUGGAUUGACGCUGAUGGACGAAAGCGUGGGGAGCGAACAGGAUUAGAUACCCUGGUAGUCCACGCCGUAAACGAUGGAUACUAGCUGUUGGGAGCAAUCUCAGUGGCUAAGCGAAAGUGAUA
rnacentral:rRNA from 1 species